rfam:Pseudomonas entomophila str. L48 chromosome,complete sequence.
CAGCUUUUAUUUUGGGUAUUGGUUUAGCCACUAGGCGCCGCUGAUACCCACACGGCGCCCACCUUCGAGGGGCCGCCGAACAUGAGAAUACUCAAACCCCCGGUCGGCUCCCCGACCGGGGG